UCUGGAAGAGCAGAAGUGCUGUUAACUGAUGAGCCAUCUCACGAGCCCCUAAGGAGAAAGGAAACCAGUUCACCUUGUAACUCCGUGGUUGUUCCCAGACACAAGACAGCCAGGCUGUAGCUGUAUCAAGGAAGAUCCUCAAACAAAAAGCCUGAAACUACAUCCCUGUGCCCUCUGGGAUCAGUGAGAAACCUUUCCUACAUACUUCUGCCACCACGAUGUUCCUUACUCUGGACCCAGAAUCCACUGAGCCAACAACCACGAUGUUCCUUACUCUGGACCCAGAAUCCACUGAGCCAACAACCACAAUGUUCCUUACUCUGGACCCAGAAUCCACUGAGCCAACAACCAUGGACGGAGAUAUCUAAAGUGUAACCUAGAUAAGUAAUUCUUCCCAUUAAAUUGUUUUGACCAAGUACUUUUCACAGUGAUGUGAAGUCUGACUAAUACAGUAACAUAAGAAGUCUAAUAAUUAAAAUCGAGAAAAUAUUUUAGAAAUAGAGGGAGAAAAACAUAUCCCAAAAUAUGGCAGGAGAGAAAGAAAUUCACAAGAUCAACUCAAGGGACUGAAUCAGUUGAAAUUACAAGGGGAUUAGAGAAAAUAAGGGAGAAAUCAUCAGAGAACUUUCUAGAACUGAAGGACAUGUUUUUAGUUUUCAUGCCCAU